GCAUUCAAUCUCUCGUUUCCUUGGCCUGGGGACAUUGUGGGGGGUUGGGAUAUUAAGUCUAUGAAGACAAAGUAUAAGAAGAGAGACCUUCCCAGGACUUUCAAGUGUGACAUUUGAUAUCAACACCGUCAGCCCAGAAAGAGAAACAGCAUCUCUCGCCAAAUGAAAAGAAGAGACUGAGGGAAUUAAAGAAAGAUGCAUCAUUUCACUAUCUUCAGAUGAACCCCUUACUUCAACUGCAGACCAGCGAAAGGAGAAAACUCCAUAACAGUUUGGUCUGGAGAAAGCUCUUGUGCAGAGCAGGAUCAGCAGCUGAACCAUUCCAGCAAAAGUGGCCAAAGGAGGAACUGAAGCAGAUGAGCUGCCACCGCACAAAUAAACAAUGUCUCCCUUCCCGACCUUCCCCUCUGUAAUAACAAUGAUCCACACAGAAUGCCUCCCACUUCCCAUAAACAGUUUUUUUGCUGGGCUCAA